UCUUUGAUGACAUGGGGGUGAGUAAAUUAUCAGGAAAUUUUUAUUUGAAAGUGAACUAUUCCUUUAAUUGAGGAUAUAACUUUUACUUUACAGUAUAGGGUAAAAUUGUCUUAGUAAUGGCCGCUUAGCCUUAAUUAUUGGCUUAUUCUCAUCAAUAAACUUGAAUGUCACUCAAUAAGUGCCAUAAUUAAUGAGGAUUUAGCUUUCACUUUAGAAUAGGGGGUCAAAUUUCCAUUAUUAGUAGUGUAUUAAUGUUAAUGGCAGUUUAGCCUUGAUUAUUGGCUUAUUCUCAUCAAUAAACCUGAAUAUAACUCAAUAAGUGCCAUAAUUAAUGAGGAUUUAGCUUUCACUUUAGAAUAGGGGGUCAAAUUGCCUUUAUUAGUACUGUAUUAAUGGCAGUUUGACCUUAAUUAUUGGCUUAUUGUGCUCAAUAAACUUGAAUAUCACUUAAUAAGUGCCAUAAUUAAUGUGGAUAUACCUUUCACUUUGGGGGUCAAAUUGUCUUUAUACUAUUUUAGCAAUUUAUAACUGCAAAACCAUCAGUAAUUAAACAUAAUUACUAGCUUAUUGUUCAGUUAACUUAAACGAAUGGCACAUAAAUAUAAUUACAAUACUACACAAAAAUAAUAUAUGGCUUAUUAAGUUGUAGAUAAUGACUAAAAGGUGUUUACUGUACAUUCAGUUAAUCAUUAAUUACUAGGUUAUUUUGUAACAGUCAUAAACCUGUUAACAUGUUUUUUUUUUUUUUUUGUAAUUGUACUACUCCCCAUGAGGGGGCAACAAGGAGCUAUACUCUCAGGAAUAAAAUGAGUGUAAAGAGUAGAAGAAGUUAGAUUUGUAAUGGAGGGAGUAAGCAUGGCUUAUGGCUCCAAACAAUCACUGGUCCUGAUUGAGAAACCAUGAGUUUUAUGCUCAAUCUGAAAAGGACUCCACAUUCUGUGGGAUUCAUCCUUCUGUUCAUAUGCCUGUUGUUUUUGACCUGUGUCAGAAGUGACAUUAAAGUGGGGUUAGAGGCUAUGAGCUGGUUCAACUGCAGUGGAUCCUUGAACCAGAUUUUGCCACAUAUGGGAAUUUAGAGACUUUCUAGUUUGUGUGGAUUGAUAUUGACACUAAGGAGUACAGGUUGCACUGGGAAACUUUUGGAUUGCGUUCUUGGACAUUGGCUUUCAUGGACAUUGAUUUCUAUACUGUUGUGAUUGAACAUUCAUCGUUAUUAACAUCAUCAUCGUCAUCAUCAUCAUCAUCAUCAUCAUCAUCAUCAUCAUCACCACCACCACCUAAAAACAGAUAAGAUUUUCAUUUCUUCUAUUUCAUUAUAGAUCACAGGUUUUUGUCAAUGCUUGCAAUAUAUGAAGCUAACAUACAGUUUAGUUAGUAGUUCCUUCCCUUUAAAACAGAUUAAUAACUAAUGCUUUUGUGGGAUCAAAGUAACGGUUAUAAUUUUUGUUUAUUUAUAGCAUACAUGUGUAUAUUUCAAAUGUUUAAUAAUUUGUAAUCAAUGGCUAAUAUGCCCUACUAUAUGUUUAGUUAAUCAUUAAUUACUAUUGUGUCCAUGCUUAAAUUGUGAACAAGUAAAUCAUUAAUUACUAGUUUAUUUAUGCUUAACCAAUGCAUAAUUCGGGACCCUUAAAAUAUAAAGUUAAUCAUUAAUUACUAGUGUGUUCAUUCUUAACUAAUGCUUAAUUGUGAACAAGUUGAUAAUUAAUUAAUGCUUAAUGCAUUAUUCUGGACCCUUUAAAUAAAGUGUUACCCUCUGGGUUAUUGUGAAUGGGGGCCACCAGUAGGGAAGACAUACCAGCCCUGCCCUGACCAGGCCUUCCACAUAUUAAACAUGAUUGUAUUCUCACACAAUUCUUCUGAGCCAGGAAAGAGGGAGAUCUGAUCAUCUAAUUAAAUCGUUGGGAUUUUAUCAAGCAAUGGGACAAAUUGUAGGGGUAAUACUAAUUCCCAAAUAUGUAAAACCAGAGUCUGACACUUCACAUGGAAAGGAACUCAUUUAAUUAUCACACUUAAUUAUACUAGUGCUUGGGUUGCAAAGCAACAGAUUUGGAAAAAAGUAUUUUAUACCCUGAAAACUUCCCAAAUUAAUUAAAAAUAUCUAUUAAAGCAGGCAUAGAAGAUUCAAGGUCCGACAAAGAGUAGGAUAUCAUCUGUGCUGUUUAAGAUCAGCCGAAAUAUAUGUAUGUGUGUGUAUUUAUAUAUACAUAAUUAUUAUACACAGAACACACACAUAUAUUACGUAAACAGACUUUUAUUUUGCAAACGAUUAAUCGCGAUUAAUCAUUGUGCGGCCCUACACACAGCAGCGCACAAACAUUAUUUAAUAUUAAAAAUAAAAGGCCAUGUAAAUAACAAAUCUGCCAUGGUGCAAGCACAACUGGCUUUUAAAGGGAAUGGGAGAUGAGAAUCUUAUUGGUUUAUUGCACAUUACACCCAAAACACACCCACGACUCAUUCAGAGACUAGGUAUAGUCUUCUGAACCAUGCGCCUGGCGCGCCAACCAUUUUUUUUCAUUGUUAAACUAGCAAAAGUGGAUUUGAACAUGCCUUAAGAGCACCUUCGCCAUGCACUUCAAACCAUGCACUUAGAUCGUUAAAAUAGGGCCCCUGAUGUCCAUACCGCUAGAGUUAUCGCGCUUGCAUUGCAGCUUGCAUUACAGCUUGCAUUCUAAAAAAAAAAAGCACCACAAAAGACAAGGAAAGCACUGUGGAGGUUAGCAAAGAAUGCCAGGAAUGCCUGCGCGGCCCGUGGAAACUACUACUCCCUUCUACGGACGUGGCUCUUACCGGUGUAUCCUGAGCAGCCUGCUCCAGUAUUUCGGCCUUUGUUGUUGAAAACGCUUAUACGGAGCCGACGGGUGGAUCAUCAUUUGGACUGAAGUACUCACCAUCAGCACAAGCAUAGCCUUUGUAUCCUAUCACGGUUAAAGCUGAACUGCUGAAUGUGAGAUCAGUGGGAAAUAAAAUGUUUAUACUUCAAGAUUUUAUUGCAUCACAAAUUUUGGAUUUUCUGUUUUUAACUGAGACUUGGCUUAAUCCAGCAGAUACUUGUUUUCUGAGUUGUUGCCUCUGAACUACAAUUUUUUUAAAUACUCCAAGGGCCAAUGGUCAAGGUGGGGUUGUGGCCACACUCUUUAAGGACAGUUUUAAAUGUAGUCUACUACCAGUGGAGGAAUACUCAUGUUUUGAACUGCAGCUGGUUAAAUUGGAACUGAUGCUGUUUAUUGUGCAUUUAUUUACCGCCCUCCUAAAUAUGAUAAGGUUUUUAUUCAGGACUUUUCAGACUUUUUUUCUUUUAAUGUUCCGACCUCUGAUAAUCUUAAUAUCCAUGUAUGCUGCCCAUCUAACCCAUUGGUAAAUCAGUUCUCUGAACUUGUUGACUCUUUUAAUUUAACACAGUCAGUUUGUGAUGCCACACACAGGCAUGGUCACACCCUGGACCUCAUUUUAUCUCUGGGUUUGUCUCUUAGCAGUGUGGCUAUAGAGGACAAUUACAUAUCUGACCAUAGAUUUGUCUUUUUUAAUUUUGAUUUGCCAGCUAAAGGUCAACCUGCUAAUUGUUAUUUUUGACCUGUAAAUGAGGUGACAGCAAAUUGUUUUGCUGAAGCAUAUGCUUCUAGCCCAGUCUCUUCUAUCAUUGAGGCUUCUGGGCCUCAGAUACAAUUAACUGCCAUUUUCAAUUCUGUAUGCUCGGGCAUUAUAAAUGAUGUUGCUCCACUGAAACUUCAGUCUCAGCCAUGGUUUAAUAAUGAAACGCAUGCUCUUAGACAGGCCUGCAGAAAAGCUGAACGCAGGUGGAAGACAGAUAAAUUGCAGGUUUCCUAUGAAAUGCUGAAAGACACACUUAGCAUUUACCAGAACAGCGCAUUGCCCCAAAAUUCUGUUUAGCACAUUAAACACUGUGCUAAACCUGACUCUUGCUCCUUCUACAAACUCUACUUUAUUUGCUUGUGAGGAUUUCUUGAACUUUUUUUUGUAACAAAGCUUACUUUGUAAUAUUAUUAAUUAGAGCAGAUAUAGUACCCUCUAAUAUUUUUCUGGAAGCUCCCACGCCAUGUUCUUGUAUAUUAGAUCACUUUGAUGUUGUCUUUAUUCCAGUUUUAGCGGACAUAGUCAAGCACAUGAAAUUGUCAUCUACCUCUCUGGAUCCUAUUCCUCCUAGGUUUUUAAAAGAAAUCAUUUGUAACUUUGGGUGACUUUAGUAUACAGUCUAUUGUGAAUAGUUCCUUAUCUAAUGGUGUUGUCCCACCCUGUCUCAAACAAGCAGUGGUUUCUUCCCAAAUAAAAAAAACAGGCUUUGAUUGUACUGAUCUGAAUAAUUUUCUAAAUUUCGAAAUUACCAUUUUUUUUUUAAAUCUAAAAGUUGUUUUAUUCCAAAUUACUCCAUUUCUAUUGGAGAAUGACAUCCUGGAUAAAUUCCAAUCUGGUUUCAGAGCUGGGCACAGUACAGAGACUGCCCUGGUAAAAGUGUUGAAUGACUUGUUAAUAGCAGUUGAUUUUGGGCUGGCUGUUGUUUUAAUUUCGUUGGAUCUCAGUGCCGCAUUCAACACCUUUGGUCAUUUGAUUCUUUUAGACCAGUUAGAGUGUGAGGUUGGCAUUCGUGGAACAGCGCUAAAAUGGUUUCAUUCAUAUCUACAUUAAAAUAUGGUCUCCCUCAAGGCUCAAUUUUAGGUCCCAUAUUUUUUUUUAUUUGUACAUGUGUCCUUUGGGAUCCAUUUGUCGUCACUAUGACAUUUCCUAUCAUAUGUAUGCAGAUGACACACAGAUUUAUUUACCUCUCAAAGUUCUGCUCUGAAAGACGAGCAGUCUUUGAAGUCCUUGUUGGACUGUUUGAAUGAGCUCACAGUUUGGUUGUCUAAAAACUCUCUCCAACUUAAUGAAAGAAAGUCUAAAAUCAUAAUAUUUGGUCGACCAGAAUUUGAGAAGAUAACCAGUACUCUUGCUCCCUUAGAAAUAACUGUGAAGGAUGGUGUUUGAAAUCUUGGUGUAAUAAUUGAUUCAUCCCUUAGGUUUGAUAAACAGAUAAAUUCUGUUGUAAAAAAAAAUAGUUUUUAUAAGCUUAGAUUCAUUUCUAAGCUAAAACCCUUUCUUGGUUUGAUUUGGAGGUUGUUGUUCAUGCUUUUAUUACAUCAAGAUUAGACUACUGCAAUUCUCUCUUAAGGGUAGCGGUAAACACAAUCUGCCGUGCCACCUGCAGAUGCCAACUAAAGCUCUAUCAUGCAAAAAGGAAGCCAUAUGUGAACAUGGUCCAGAAGCGCCGUCGUGUCCUGUGGGCCAAGGCUCAUUUAAAAUGUUCUGUUUCAAAGUGGAAAAGUGUUCUAUGGUCAGACGAGUCCAAAUUUGACAUUCUUGUUGGAAAUCAUGGAUGCCGUGUCCUCCGGGCUAAAGAGGAGGGAGAUCUUCCUGCAUGUUAUCAGCGUUCAGUUCAAAAGCCAGCAUCUCUGGUGGUAUGGGGGUGCAUAAGUGCAUACGGUAUGGGCAGCUUGCAUGUUUUGGAAUGCAUUAUAAAUGCUGAAAGGUAUAUAAAGGUUUUAGAGCAACAUAUGCUCCCCUCCAGGUGACAUCUAUUUCAGCUAUUUAUACUGCAGCUAUUACAACAGCAUGGCUUCAUCAUAGAAGAGUCCGGGUGCUGAAUUGGCCUGCCUGCAGUCCGGAUCUUUCACCUAUAGAGAAAAAUACGUCAAAAGACGACCACGAACUCUUUAGCAGCUGGAAACCUAUAUCAGGCAAGAAUGGGACCGAAUUUCAACACCAAAACUCCAGAAACUCAUAACCUCGAUGCCCAGACAUCUUCAAACUGUUUUGAAAAGAAGAGGAUGCGAAGAGAAGAGAUGCUACACCAUGGCCUGCACGUGCUACUCCCUUCUAACCCCUGGUUAUCUGAUGUUCUUCGUGAACACCGGACCAAACUCGGGGCUGCAGAGAGAAAAUGGCGCAAAUCAAAAGACCAAUCUGACCUAGAGCAAUCAAUUGGACGUCAAUCAAUCUGGUUUCAAGAGUGGCCAUUCAACCGAGACUGCACUGUAGGUCACUGAAUCCUUGCGGAUUGCAAAGGCUGAUUCCAAAUCAUCAGUUCUCAUUCUGCUCGAUCUAUCUGCGGCAUCACAGGUACUCCAAUUCACUGGUAUGAAUCCUAUCUCAAAGGUAGGUCUUUCAGGGUUGCAUGGAGAGGGGAGGUAUCCAAAGCUCAUCAACUGAUCACAGGGGUUCCUCAGGGUUCAGUUCUUGGACCCCUCCUCUUCUCCAUUUACACUACAUCACUUGGUCCCAUCAUACAGGCACAUGGUUUCUCCUACCAUUGCUAUGCUGAUGACAUGCAGCUCUUCCUUUCAUUCCAACCAGAUGAUCCCACAGUAGCUGCACGAAUCUCAAGCUGUCUGGCAGACAUCUCGGCAUGGAUGAAAGAACAUCAUCUGCAGCUCAGCCUGGCAAAGACUGAGCUUCUCGUCUUCCCUGCCAAUCCGAUUCUAAAGCGUGAUUUCACCAUCCAGCUAGGUACAUCCUCAAUUACCCUAUCAAAUUCGGCCAGAAAUCUUGGAGCAAUCUUUGAUGACCAAGUGACCUUCAAAGACCACAUUGCGACGACAGCUCAGUCAUGCAGAUUUGCACUAUACAACAUCAGGAAAAUCAGGCCCUUUCUAACAGAACAUGCAACAUAACUUCUCGUCCAGGCCCUGGUCAUUUCUAGACUUGAUUACUGCAAUGCUCUUCUGGCUGGACUGCCAUCAUGCAGAAUCAAGCCUCUACAAAUGAUUCAGAACGCUGCAGCUCGUCUUGUUUUUAACAAGCCCAAAAGAGCACACGUCAUGCCUCUCUUCAUCUCUCUGCACUGGCUACCACUUGCUGCUCACAUCAAGUUCAAGGCUUGCUUACAGAUCUACCACAGGCUCAGCACACCCCUACUUCCACUCAUUUUUACGAGUCUACAUCCCUACCAGAAGCCUAUGCUCACUAAAGGAGCGAAGGCUCGUGGUACCAUCACAGAGAGGCACAAAAUCACUCUCCAGAAAAUUCUCGUUCACUGCUCCAUGCUGGUGGAACGAUCUUCCUGCCUUCAUCCGGAAUGCAGAAUCCCUGGCAAUAUUCAAAAGACAGCUGAAAA